AUAGUCGUGUUCUGGUAAACACGUGUUCAAGGCCCAGCCGACCCCGUCCUGUAUCAGAUACCCAGGCUCCCCAGCAGGUCAACCUGGGUAACCUCCUCCCUUCAACCCUACCCAGGAAACUUGAACCUCUAGACAGGAAACCAGAUGUACCUGAUGUUAGGAUAAAGAUCCCUGAACAGAAAGGAUUGGGUGGAUUACAUCUAUCCGUGAAUUAUAAGAAGGUUUCAUGGAAACCCAAUGCUAUGGAUCCUCUCAUUCAGGGUAAAUCUGACGAAUCUGAACAUUCUGAAAAUGAAGAUGAACUGAAUCAAACUUACAACAGAUAAUUUUAUCAAAAAGUGAUGUAUGCUUUUUUAUCCUAAUAACAAGCCAUUUCCGUGUUUAGAGGGGUUUGAAGGAUUGCUACAACACAAUGUCACUCUGUAGUCAGUAUGUCACCCCAUAGAUAUGCAAAACCCGGUUUUUAACUGUAACCCUCUAAUAAAUGUGUAAAUAUACAGUUAAUGUGGACAACAUUCAGCAAAUGUUGAUUUUCAAGUUUUCUUUGAGCAUUAAAACCUUUUUCUUCAAAAUUUCAUUUAGAAAAUCUACAAAUGUUUAUUAUUUUUUAAUUAUAAAACUUUUAUGUCUUCUUUAAAUUUCUUUGUUUAGUGGAACUCCCAAAUAUAUGAUAUAAAGGGUUACCCACAAAAGAUGCAAAUUUAUUUAUUUUGCAAUUAGCAUAGAAUGAGACUUGAUAGUCGACUGAACCAAAUUUCUACUGUCUGUUUUCUUAUAAACAUGGAUCCAACUUCUAAGCUAUUAAACAAGCAAAUAUCUUCAAAACGAUGGUUGAGAAGUUUAUUUUUUUUUCAAGAGUUUCAGGUCGUCUUUACUGCUCAUCCUUUGAAGGUAAACCUGUAUUUAAAUUAAGGUGUGAUUAAUGAUACAUGGCAAAAAUAACAACCAUAACAAUGAAUUAUCGUAACUCAAUGUAAAAAUCAAACGUUUCAUAAAUUGUUAAGUCAAUGUGAUUUCUAAAAUAUAAACUCUUUCGUGAUUUUCAGGAUAAUAUACAUAAUAUAUUCUUAUGUUGUAAGAUUAAUCUUUUUUUGUUUUUUAUCUGUAAAUUCGGAUUAAUAUGCAUUUAUUUAAAAACUUAAUUCAUUACAUAUGUAAUAUCCUUAUACAAUGUUAUUUUGCUUGUAUUACAGAAUACGUUGUACAUUAAAAGAAUAUCAAAACCAAAUCUGCUAAGAUCUUUCAUCAGGAAUUUAUGAUAUUUUUUAAUUCAGGGAAAAAAUACAAAAAAGCUGAUAAUUGUUUUGUUUUCAUCCACAUCUCAUGAACAAUGAAUAAUUUAAUAUAAAACCUAAAAAGUCACCAUUUUCUGCAAACCAAAGAAAUAAAAUUAUAUUGCAUUUAUUUAAAGAUUCAUCAAUUUUUAAUUCAUAUUUACUGGGACACCAGCGAAUGAAAACGUUCGCGAAAAAAUGCGAAAAUGUUCGUUCGUCGUUCGUAAACUUUUUCGCGAAAUGUCGCGAAAAUGAACUAAGCGAAAAAAUGCAAAAACGAAGAGAAGUUUCGCGAAAAAUAAUUCCGCGAAAACCAUAAUGUGUUGAAGGUGCAAAUAAAACUUCUGGAAUUCUUUGCUCUGAGAGCUCAGCACUAGAAUGUUGUAUAAUUAAUAAUUUCUCUUCUUUUUCUGUGAUAAAUGUUUGAUGAAAAUUUCCAUUUUUUUCGCCAAAUUUACACCAUUUUUUCUUCGCAAAAUUUUCGCAAAUUUUUACGCUAAAUUUUCGCAAAUAUUAUAUCGCAAGACAGAAAAUUUUUGCAUUUUCCGAAAACGAACGAAAAGCAAACGCUGCGAAAUUUUUUUCGCAGAACGAUUUCCAUUUUUCGCUGGAGACCCUAGACACCAUUUACAUUGUACAACCAACACAUUUGUUUUAGCUGUACUUAGACAUCAUGCUCUGUCUCUGAAGUUCUUAUCCAUUGUGGGUAACCCUGUGUCUAUGUAUUUAUUUCAUUUGUAAAAAGUUCAACCAAAUUAUCAAACAUAAAAUGUGAUCAAAUCAAUUUUGUGAUAAUUGAGUAUUUUAUGAAAAGUUUUUCUGGCAAAAAUAAAAUGAUUUUUUUAAAAUCUCAA
rnacentral:misc_RNA from 1 species